rnacentral:rRNA from 1 species
GAGUUUGAUCCUGGUUCAGAACAAACGCUGGCGGCGUGUCUUAAGCAUGCAAGUCGAGCGGCAGGCGCAGCAAUGCGCUGAGAGCGGCGGACUGGUGAGUAACGCGUGGGUAAUCUACCUUUGGCAUGGGGAUAGCCACUAGAGAUAGUGGGUAAUACCGAAUACGUUCCCUGGGGGGAGGUUUCAGGGAAGAAAGGGUGCUACGGCACCGGCCAAAGAUGAGCUCGCGUCCCAUUAGCUAGUUGGUGAGGUAACGGCCCACCAAGGCGAUGAUGGGUAGCCGGCCUGAGAGGGUGUACGGCCACACUGGGACUGAGAUACGGCCCAGACUCCUACGGGAGGCAGCAGCUAAGAAUAUUCCGCAAUGGACGAAAGUCUGACGGAGCGACGCCGCGUGGAUGAUGAAGGCCGAAAGGUUGUAAAGUCCUUUUGCUGGGGAAGAAUAAGUGUGGGAGGGAAUGCCCGCAUGAUGACAUAACCGGCGAAUAAGCCC